rnacentral:rRNA from 1 species
UACGUAGGGGGGCAAGCGUUGUCCGGAUUUAUUGGGCGUAAAGAGCUCGUAGGCGGUUUGGUAAGUCUGGUGUGAAAUCUCCACGCUCAACGUGGAGGGGCCACCCGAUACUGCCAUGACUGGAGUCCGGUAGAGGAGUGUGGAAUUCCCGGUGUAGCGGUGAAAUGCGCAGAUAUCGGGAGGAACACCCGUAGCGAAGGCGGCACUCUGGGCCGGAACUGACGCUGAGGAGCGAAAAGCGUGGGGAGCAAACA